rnacentral:misc_RNA from 1 species
GGAUGAAGAACGCAGCGAAAUGCGAUAAGUAAUGUGAAUUGCAGAAUUCAGUGAAUCAUCGAAUCUUUGAACGCACCUUGCGCUCCUUGGUAUUCCGAGGAGCAAGCCUGUUUGAGUGUCAUUAAUAUAUCAACCUCUUCAGCUUAUGCUUGUUGAGUGUUGGAUGGUGGGGGUUUGCUGGUGUCUUAUGAAGUCAGCUCCUCUGAAAUGCAUUAGCGGAACAAUUUGUUGACCGUUCAUUGGUGUGAUAAAAAUAUCUACGCUAUUGACGUCAGUCAGUUCAGCUUCUAACAGUCCAUUGACUUGGACAAAUUUUUCAUUAAUGUGACCUCAAAUCAGGUAGGACUACCCGCUGAACUUAAGCAUAUCAAUAAGCGGAGGA